UUAUAAACCAACGGUCCCACUAGAUCACUUGUGUCAAAGGGGUUAAACAUGUGCAUCAUCACCCAGCCAGACUCUUGUUGCUGUCCCGAUAUUGGUAAGAUGAAAUAUGAAAUCAGCAGUGUAUUAAUCCAAAACAAUAUCAGACAUCACAUGGCAGCAAUGGUCUGGAAUCUGAUACUAGCAACUGUUGCCGUGUGACCUUUUAGUUUGGAUGAUGCAGACAUUUGUACACCUGCAUGUGCUCAUCAACUUUCACUUCUCCUUCAGCAUUCAACAGCAAAGCUAUUUUUAAGGAUGCACGUAGGCCAUGAUUAUGAAUAGAAG